CUUUCGGAAGUGCAUCGGGAAGCCCGGCGGCUCCCUGGACAACUCGGAGCAGAAGUGCAUCGCCAUGUGCAUGGACCGGUACAUGGACUCCUGGAACACGGUUUCCCGAGCCUACAAUUCCCGGCUGCAGCGGGAGAGAGCCAACAUGUGAUGAUGCGUUCCGGGCCAGGAGGGACCAUGUGGGGAAGGGACGAGCGGCCAGUCCAGCCUUGAGAGCCACCAUGAGCUGCUUGAUUUACUUCUUGCCCUUCCCAACCGUCCAGACUGGCCAAGGCAUUAUAGCACUUGAUAAAUCCCUGCUGAAAGGGCUGCGAGAGGCAAGGAGCCUUCUGUGGAAAAGAGGGGCCAAGCCAAGCCAGCAACACAGUCCCUUUGCCUGGGAUUCCAGCAUGGACCCAGCCAUCAGGUAGUUACCCAGUCCUUUUUCAUCAGUAGAAAAGCUGCCAUAAUAUUCUCCACAUGCCACCUGGACUCUUUCUUCCCUUGUAUCUGUGUAUCUCUGUGUGGGGCUCACUU